UUGUCCCAAACAUCAAGGCUACGAAAGUUGUGAAGAAAAAUCUCACUGCCGUGUAUGGUGGAUUUCGCCAGUAUGACAAACGUUGUUUCCAUAAGCAUGCCAUACACUGGGUGAAGAAGGACUGGGAGUAUUGAGUAGGGAAAUAGAGGUCCUUAGAACCAGGGGUAGGUUGGCUCAAUUCUUUAAUUAAAUCUUUGUUUCUCCUGAAACAUAUGCCACAUCUUAGAAAAGGCUUCAACAACAAAUUCAAGCUUGCAUGAUGAACUUUGAGAUGGCUGUAUAUGACAUUUCAAUAUCAUAAAGCAUUCAGAUAUCCUAUAGUUGAAUCACCUGUAUAGGUCUGACUUUUCGUAUAUUUCGGUGAAAUCCACCCCCAAAAUUAAUUCUUGUGCAGAAGCGGUAACUUCCAACAUCCAAGUUGCAGGGUUAUAACCAUCUUUGAUUUUACUUACUCCUUCAAUUCCCUUAAUGAAAGCAAGUCACAUGUAUUAGUAAGCACUUUAUAUGAAUUAACUUAAACUAAAGUAUUUGCUGCUUAUAGCUUUUAAUUUAUCAUGGAAGUUUACCUCAAAAUACUUUAUCAGAUGGGAAGAAUGUCUACCCAGUGGUCCCAUAUAUAUCUCUUGCCCUCCACGCUUCAACAGGAGCAACUGCAAACCCAUUUUGAAUAUGUCAGUACUUAUAUGCAGGAGAGCAUAGAAGAGAAUAAAUCCUUUCUAUCCAUUAACAUUUCCAACCUCAUCAAAGGCAUCAAAGAUGUCAAUACUUGGCUGAUGGAUGGUGCACACAACUGUUCUUCCUGUGUCCACUGUGUUCCUGACUGUUCUCAUAACAAUUGCAGCAGCUCUUGCAUCUAGCCCUGAAGUUGGCUCAUCCAUGAAUAUUAUUGAGGGAUUUGCCACAAGCUCAACUGCAAUGGUCAGCCUCUUGCGCUGCUCGGUUGAGAGACCAUUUACACCUGGCAACCCAACUAGUGCACCCCUCAAUGGGGUCAGUUCCACGAGCUCCAUGACUUCCUCAAUGAACAUCUAUAACCAUUACCAAAGAUUAGAAAUUGUUUGAACCAGCACUUUUCCUCAGAGUAUAGGUCAAGCCAAACUUGAACCUGACCAUAGCUCAACCAAGUUUGAAAAAUCAAUUCUAGGGCUUUGCUUGUUCAGAGCACUAAAUUCAAUCAGAAAAAUGUGGAAACAACACAGAAAACUCUCACCUUCCUUGUUUCAGCAUCCACAUUAGGAGGCAAUCGCAGCCAAGCUGAGUAGAGCAAGGACUCAUGGACAGUAACAUGAGGAGAGUGGAUGUCAUUCUGCUCACAGUAUCCAGAAAUGCGAGCAAAAGUCUCUUGCUUCUUUGGGUAGCCAGAAAUGCUGAUGCUACCCUCAAUAUAUCCACCAGUUUUCCGACCAGCCAAUACAUCCAUGAGAGUGGUUUUACCAGCACCACUAACACCCAUCAAAGCUGUAAGAACACCAGGCCUGAAAGCACCACUCACCCCCUUCAGAAGCUCCAAUCUGUCUUCAGGGACACCUUGACUUUUCAUUUCCUGCAAAUUCAAUUCAAACAACUUACUUCUCAUUUUUGGUUUAUUAGUGCUGCUAAAACAUGUACAUUAUUUGCAAAAAUAUGAAGUUACCUCUGGCAUGUCAACUGAGUAUCUAAUAUCAUCAAAGGUGAUAGAAAGUGGUUGGAAUGGAAGAACCAUUCCUUUUUUGUUGUUACGUCUCGCCUCAGCAAUGGCUUCUGCCCUCACAGAAGAGGAUACGGAUGAGAUACUUCGCCCAAUUUCCUCUCCACUCUCUGCAUGUUAAGUUUAAAUUUAGAGAGCAAUAUAGAACAUGGGUUAAAUGACAAGAACACAGGCACACAAAGGCAUGCAAGCACCAUGUAUGAGUUUCAUCACCUGUGGAUGCGGUUUGGUCAAUCGAGCCUUUUCUAUGGGACGAUAACUCAAUCUUUCCUUCAGUUUUGGCAUUGUCGGACUCUACUGUUAUAACAGCUUGAGGCUUCUCAAAUGCUGCACAAUUUGCAAAAAUCUUAAUACACUAACCUCCAAUCAUUUAGGAGUUUCAAUGCAGAGACGGUAAAGAUACUCACGAUUUAGGUAAGUCAGAGCCACAGUGUAACAGAAGUUGAAGACAAAUAUGAAUCCAAGCAGUGCCCCAGCUCCUAUCCAGUACCAGUGUGCCUCCGUGAAGAACCCACGAGCCUUCAAUACUGCUACUCCAAGGGAUUCUGUUGAAUUGGUAGAAGCAUUCUGAAAAAUGGAAAUACAUUCAAUCAUCAGUGACUGACACACAUAAAUAAACACAAAUACUCACAUGCAAAAUUCAAGAACUUACUUUGCUCCAACUCUUCCCAAGGAAUUCAUUUACCAGUAUGGCGUUCUGUGCAUACAUCAUAGGGGAAGACCAGUAACCCCAAAUCCACCAUUUCUUGACAUUUUCUGCAGCAUUGACCAAAUACAAAAAGAAAACAAAAAUCCAUUAUUAGUGUUUAUCAACAAGAAGGUUCUACAUUUCCUGAAAAUUUCUUUCCUCCUUAUACCUCGUGACAGGACAAUACCACCCAAUGCAAAGGGCAGAACUAAUGCAAAUGACCCAAAUGUGUUUGCAACAAUCAUGCUUCUACAAGCUGCUGCUAUAAAUCGAAAUAAUGAAGAUGCCGUCUGAUUAAGAAGCAAGAGGAGUAGAUACUGUCUAAACAAUCUGCAAUAAGAAGAUUUGUUUAUUGAGCAUAGAUCAUUUUGGAACAGAGAAAACAUGUGAAACAAAUCUGGACAAGUUUCUGCAACUUCACAAGUUUUUAACUUUUACCUUCCCACAUUUGGAUCAAAUCCAAUGACAUAAUAAGUGAUGAAUACCCAAACACCAACUUCAACAAAUGUGAUGGGGAUCUUGAGGAACCAUGAGGGAAGAGCAUAUGCCCAUGCAGGAUAGAAGAGCAGGCCUCUUUGCUUGUAAAAGACAGGAAGUUUUAGAAUGGUCAUGGCAAGUUCUGACAUUCCAUUAAACAUGACCAUCAUGACAGUGAAGAACAAAGCACCAGUGUAAAUGUUUCCAUCUUCUGUUGUGUUUUUGUGCAUCUCAGUUCUUAGGAAGAUUGUCAUUGCAAUCAUUGCGACUAUUGUGAGCUAAAAGCAGAAAUAAAAAUAAUAAAUUACGAUCAAAUGUACAAAAUUAAAAGCCAUUGUUAUAAGUAACAACAAUAAUAAUACUCACUUGGGUGAGCUUGAAAAUAUAGACAAAUGAAUUCCUCUUCAUCAGCAAGUACUCUCUUGAGAUGCAAGCAUCCAACAGUUCCUUCUUUCUAACACCAUAUUUUUCAGUUUUCAAAGCAGCCGGGUGGCUUUUGGUCUUGUCGAAUGGAGUUGCAAGCUCAUCUCCUAGUUUCCGUCCAAAGUGAAAUGACUGGAAUGCCUCAGCAAAUUCCUUGGCUGUGACAAAACUGUAAGGCUCAUCUUUAUGUGCCCAAUACUGCUCCUGAUCUUUCCUAGAUGUUACCUGCAAUCAAUUUUAAAAUUCGUGUUCUAGCUUGGUUUUUUCUAAAGAAGGGAAAAAAUGAGAAGAUGCCAAAAGGUACAAAGCUAUUAGCACUCACUUCUUGUAGGAAGUCUGCCACACCCUUCCUUUCAGGACAUCUGAACCCCAUGGAUUCAAAAAAGUUAAGAACGUCUUCACGAGGACCCUGAUAAAUGAUCCGGCUAUCAGAGAGAAGAAUGAUGUCAUCAAAAAGAUCGUAAGUCUCAGGUGCUGGCUGGAGGAGAGAGAUGAGAGCAGUCCCAUUGAGAAUGUGGACGGUUUGCCUGAGAGAAUUUACGAUUUGAUAAGUUGUUGAGCUAUCCAAGCCAGUAGAGAUCUCAUCCAUGAACAGUGCCUUUGAUGGUCCAACCAGCAUCUCACCUAUCAUUCAUAUAUUUUCAAAUAAUUGAACUAUAUUAGAUUAAUGAACAAAAAAUAUCUUCUUCUUUUUCUUUUUCCUUUUUCAUGUUAGAACACAAAUUAUCCUACCAGUUGUGACACGCUUCCUUUGUCCUCCAGAGAUACCCCUCACCAUUUCAUCUCCUACCAUGGUGUCUGCACAGAUUUCUAGUCCCAGAAUCUGUAAAUUUAAGUUUAAAUGAAAAUAAACAAAUUAUGAGUUAGAACUGGAUUUUCUCAGAAAUCUGUAUUCCAUCAUUGAAAGUUUUAUGGUUAUGAUACCUUUAGUGUAUAAUCAGUGAUCACAUUCUCCUUCUGGCCUUCAGCUGCCGCUGCCUGAAAUGUUAGAAACCAAUAAUGAAAAUCUCAACAACCAUUAAAGUUAGUUUGGUACAUGAAGAUAUUCCAUGGAUAAGAUCGACAGAACAUCAAGAAAACAAAGUCAAUUUGCAUAUCUAUGUGAGAGAUCAAAAUUUUCAUUCUAGAGAAGACAAGUGUCCAUGUUCUCCACGAAAAACAAAUAGCUGAUCAAUUUCAUUAAGUAGCUUCUGUCUCACCUUCAUGAAGACAUCGAUAUCAGGAUCGGGCUUUAUAUUUGCUGCUUUUUCUCUUCUUGAGAGCUCUACUAACAUGUCUGCAGAUAGCCAAAAUAAGAGUCAAUCUCCUGGCCUAGGCAAAUGUCAUACAACUACAUCCACAACCUUCAAAAACAAAGAAAAUAAAAGUGAAGGCAAUGGUUUAGACUAACCAUAUCGAUCUCCAACACCCUGGCAUCUUGCAGAGAAGGCCAAGGUUUCCCGUACAGUCAUUUCUCCUAUAUGGGUAUCAAGUUGGCUUAUGUAGGCGGCAGUUCUCUGGGGUACAAACUCAUUCAUGCCAUGACCGUUGUAUGUCACUCUUCCCGUAACCUAAACAAGAAAUUUCAGUUUUCAAAUUGGAUAAGAGAUUAAAGAGCUAAAAAUUGAAUACGCAUCAAAGAAGAAAAGCAAUAAGAGUUUUUUUUUUUUUUUUUUUUUUUUGUCCGUUCAACCUUUAGACUGGAAUCAAGCUUUCCGGACAGAGCCAAUAAGAGAGUGGUCUUUCCAGAACUUGGAGGACCCAAAAGCAACGUCAUUCUGCAGAAAAAAAAUAUGCACAAAAAAUUGAGUAUUGAUCUUCAGGGCAUUCUAAAUUUGAGAAAGGAAAAAAUCAUUUGAUUUAUCAAUCAAUUUUUUACUAGAAAUAAAUUCAAAUUCUCACCUUCCGGGUUUGAUGAUUCCGCUAACAUCAUGAAGAAUGGUGAAUUUCUUCUUUCUACUUGGAAGAAUCCGAAGAGUGUUCAAGAUAUCCUUUAAAACAGAAAGAAAAAUUAUAAUCUAAAAACAAACUUUCCCAAGAGAGUACUUAUUGAUUAGCUAAUGAUCUGCAUUUGCAUUUUAGUUACCUCAAUUUGAUUAAAAACAGAAUUAAUGAAUGAAGGCAAAGCUCUGCUUCCUACAUGAGCUUCUGCAUCAAUGGUAAGAUGCUCAAAUCUAACUUCAAUUUCGGGAAGAUCAAUCCCAACUCUGAAAAAUGGAAGAGCCACGAAAACUCGUUAUUAAAAAGUCGAAGGAAGAUGUUGUUUGGUUGCAAAGAAAAUAUAGGAAACACUAUCAGGCAUACUUAAGAUGAAUUCUUUCUUUUCCACUGUUUUCAAUGUUCAAAAAGAGGCGAGGAGCGCAAGAAAAGAAGAGAAAUCGCACCUAUCCAUACGAUUCUUGAGCUUCAACAAGAACUUCUCAUUGUCCUCUUCAGCGAUUUUCACCAACCGCUCGACUAAAUUCUUCCUUUCCUGAGGCCCAAGGUUGUGUAUAUCAACUUCACUGGCCUCACCCUCUGAUCCGAUCAGCAAACCUUUCCUCAGCCGAUUGUAGGUGGGAAGUUUCUCGAGGGCAGCCCAUUUCAAAGCUUCCUCAUCAUCCUCAUCCCUUGAAGAACGGGAGAAAACCUCCGCACCAGAGUUCCUCCAUAUGGAAGAACUGUUCUUCCUGAAACUACCACUGGCUCUACGACCACUGGCUGUAUAAAUUUCAGCUGUUUCCAUUGCAACACGAAACGAGGAACCCCCCUGCAAAACUAACCAGAACCCACCAAAACCCAGAAAUUUUUCCAAAAAAUCAGGAGAAGCCCAAGUUUUGAUCUCUGGAGCUGAAAAAAACUCAGUCAGAGAUGGGUGUCCUCCCCUCUUUUCUCUAUGCACUUUGUAGUGCUAAAACCUUGUUCUAUGUUAGAAAACCAUGAGGAAUGGAAGGUUUAUAUACUGAUUCGAAGGACAGAAUCAGAGGCGGCCUAAAUGUUUCAAAUUCUUACUUUAACAUUUUCACAAUUCUCCGCUAUCUUGUUUGUCAAGUAAAUGGAAAAGUGAAUUAUUAAAUGUUGUCCUAACCGCCAAACUAACUAACUUUCCCGGGCGAAACUAACGAACCCUCCUGAAUUCCAAAUGUAAAACAUUUAUGGCAUCUUGUCUAUACUCUUGUUUAAUGAUAUGAUACUUUGGGUUUAGUUUGCCUAAAUUAAUAAUGUAAGUUAAUUUUUAACAUUUCAUUUAUAGUCUAAUUUGAUGUUGAUAUAUUGAAUUUGGAUUACUUCUUUUAAUCUCGGAAUUUAUUAGGAUUAGAUUGGAGUUGAGUUAAGAGGCCUCGAGUUGAUUUAAAUUAUAUUCAAGGAAAGAGUUAAGUAAACUUUAAUAAGUGAACGAUGAAAUCUUUUAUUUCUAAAUUAUAUGUAAUAUGAUAAAAUAUAUGUCUCAUUAUUACGAGUUAAUAAGUUACACGAUGAAUUCAUCAACUAAUUUUUAUGUAAAAGUAGAAUAUCUUAUACAAAAUGUAUGGAUUUACCUUAUAUCUUUAAAAUUUAUUUUUAAAAAUUCUCGUGACAUCAUUACAUAUGUAAGCUUGAUUAAUUUUAAUGAAUAGUAAAUUUAUCAAAAAUUAAAUAAAUGUAUAGUCAAUUCUAAGUUAGUCAUUAUUUUAUUAAAGCUAAAAAUAUUUUAAAAUUUUCAAAAUCAAGGCUUCAAUAACUCACAACUUUAAAUAAAUAUAUAUAUAUUUAAUAAAAUAUCAAUUACAAAGUUAUAAAAAAGUUCAUUUUAUUAUGUUUUUAUUAUAUAUAGUAGAAUUUAAAUAAAAUUAAUUACAAAUUAAAAAAUAAUAAUUUUUUAUUAAAGCUUUUUUGGGGGGCUAAUUUUCUUUACUCUUUUUUUUUUUUUUAAUUCCUAAGAUGUGGGAUGAGAAGGACCCAAAAUUAAUUAGAUCAUUAUCCAAAUUAUUUUUAUUUUUAAAGAAUAAAAACAUUAUAAAUGGUUAGAAUCCAACCUUCUAGAAAGAAAUGAAAGACUAGCAAAUAAAUCAUACUAAAUCCAACAACUAAUUAAAGUCUCUUCUCAAUUUAUUUUUGGAUUUAUUUUCAUUUAAAAAUAGUAACCACAUAAAACAUAGGCCAAAUAUAUUCUAAAAAUAGGUUGAUUUCUCACACGUGUAGAAGAAAGGGUACGGGUGGCCAUGAUCAUGGGAUAGACAUGAUUGACUUUCAAAAGCUUAAAAAGAAAAUGACUUUCAAAAGCUGCUAAUGACUCCAUGAUACAUGGGAUAUGAAUUGUUAAAGAUUGUCACAACUGCCCCUUUUGACCCUUCAAAUUACUUCCACAGUCCAUCACUUUGCAGCUUUCUUGACCCUUGUUUACCAAGUAACCCAAUAGGCAUAAGAAUUAUUGGAGGUUGGCCCAACAGCCCCUUUUGACCCUUCAAAUGGCUGACACAGUCAACAUUUUCAGCUUUACUCACCCUUCUCAACCAAGCAAGCAACUCACUAGGAAUAGGAAUUAUCAAAUUAAGUAACUUUGCCACAAGCAGCCCCAACCCCACCCCCAACCCCCCACCCAACAUAUUUUUUUGGCAAUUUUUGUUAAAUCUAAUUUAAUAUUUUGAUAUUUGGAUUACCUAAAUUAGAAAUGUAAGUUAAUUUUUAGAAUUUUGUUUGUAGUCUAAUUUAAUGUUGAUUAAACUCGAGUAAGUUCAAAUUAGGAUUAAAUCUAUUUAAGGAUGGUGUUAAACAAAUGAGGAAACCUAAACCUUAAUUAAGUGGGUUAUUAGAAAAAAUAUUAUGGUAUUAAUUAUUGCAUGAAUUUGUAUGGCUUAAAAUUAGUUAAUAAUACCCCCUCAUUAUUAUUCAAUAAAAGUGGCCAAUUCUAUGGUAAAGAAUAAAAAUAUUAAAAACAUUAGAUACCCCUCAUUAUUAUUCAAUAAAAGUGGCCAAUUCUAUGAUAAAGAAUAAAAAUAUUAAAAACAUUAGUAAAAGAUGUUUUAGACUUUACUAAAAAAAAUUAAGUUAAAAGACUUUUUCAAAAGAAUUUUAAAAAGUAUUUAAACUCCCCACUAAGAUAUUUUUAAUAAAUCAUUUGUUUUUUGUUUACCAAAUGGAAAUUUGAAUUAUUAAAUGUUAUCUAACUGCUAGACAAAUUAAUAACUUGUUUGACAAUUAUUUUUUGAGAAGUGUUUUUUGUUUUUAUCUUUAGAUUGUUUUCACUUAUUUUUUUAAAUUUGUUUAAAAAAAUAAUUAUACAGAAGAAUGAUUAAAAAUAAAGUAUUAAAUAUAAAAAAAAAUCAUUUUUAAAAAACAUUAAAAACUAUUUUAAAAUAUUUUAAAUUCUCAAACAAACUUUUAUUUUACAAAAAAAUAAAAAAUAAUUUUCAAAAAUUGUUCUUAAAAACUAUUUUUAAAAAUUAUUUUUUAACACAAUUACAAAACAGAUCAUAACUUUCUUUGCCUAAGUGCAAAUCUACCUAAAUUGUAAAUGUAAAAUACUUUUUGGCAAUUUAUUUAUAAUUUAAUUUUAAGAUUCCACACUUUGGGUUUUGGAUUACCACUUUUAAUCUCCCAACUUUUUAGAGUAGGAUUGGAUUAGCUAAAUUUGACUCAAUGCUUAGAGUUAGGUCCCGGGUGGUUUUUGACUGGCUCAUACUCUCCUAAAUUAUAAAUGUAAGUACAUCUUUGGGUUCAUUUCCUUCUUUUUUUUUUUUUUUUUCAAAAACAAAAUAUCUUAUAUGAAAAAAAAAAAAAAAGAAUUCUUGUAUAAAAGCUAGUUAUAUACCUUGUAUAAAAAUUUAAGUAAUUUUACUCCCACAAAUUUUCUAGGUUUUGAAAAGAAUUUUUAGAAAUACAAGGUAAAUUUUAACUUUUUAUAUAAAAGUUCUUAUAUUUUAUAUAGAAAUUUUUAUUUUUAAAUAUAAAAAAUAAAAAAUAAAAAAUGUAUCUAAUCACCACCUAAAUUAUUUUUCACCAUUUUUUUUAUACUAUAAUCUAAUGUUUAUGAUCCAAAUCUAGUGUUUGUAGUUGAGUUUGUAUUAAAGUUUAGUCAACGUAUUCAUGGAUGAAGCUAAACUAAUGGCAGAAACUUUAUUUAAGUGAGCAAUUAGAACAAUUAUGAGGGUAAUAAAUAAUUGAUAAAUUUUCAAAAUUUAAAAUUUGUUAACAAUUCCCCUCAUUAUUAUCAAAAAUAUAUAUACAAUUAUAGAGGUUAAUUAUAAAAAAGAAAGAAAAUAUAUGAUAUAUCAAAUUGAAUAAAAAUAAUAUCAAACAUAUUGGUUAAGAUAUUUUAGUUUUUCUAAAAAACAUCCAAAAAAUUAAAAGGUUUUUUUCAAAAGAAUUAAAAAAUAGUUGAAAUUUUCAAUAAGAAAUUUCUAAUAAUUUUGUUUUAACAAAAAAAAAAUCCUAAAAAUAUUUUUUUUUUAAAAAAUUCAACAAUUCCACUUAUAAAUUUCUUCUAUUUUUCAAAUAGCUAAAGAUAAAUUGACUGAGAAAACUAUUUUUUUUUAUGAAGUAUAUAUAAUAUAGUAAAAAUAUCAUAUUAAGUUAUAUAAUUUUUAUAAUUAAAGUUAAAUUCAAAUUCUCAUGAUAUGAGUCAUUAUGUAGGAUUAAAUGAGAUUUGAUAUGAUGAUACUUAUAAAAUCGAUGAUUGAUAUUCAAAUGUUUCUUUUUAAAACAAAUUGAUUUAACUCUAUAAAUGAUACCACCACCCAUAUAAAUUAAUAUUAAUUACAAACUUCCAUAAUACAAAUCAUUGCAUAGGAUUAGAUUUAUUAAAAAUUAAAUAACAUAUAAAUUUAUAUAGCUUUGUAGUAAAUUCUAAAUUAGUGAUUAUUUGAUUAAAUCUAAAAAAUAAAAAUAAAAUGACCAAAUCAAUCUGCAAAAAAUUCACCACUCAAAAUAAUUUAAUAAAAUUUCAAAUACUAAUAGAAUUUUUUGAGGGAUGACGUUUAGAAAAAUCAAAUUUAGCUUUUUCUAUUUGAAAAAACCUCAUUUUCAAGGGAAGACAUUAUUAAAUCCUCCUUGAUGAUGGUAAAGCUAGGGAAAGAAAAAGAAACAACAAAUCUUAAUAUGAUGUUUCAAGGAACCCUUUCUUCAAUGAAGCAAACUAGUUUUAUGGGGCCUAAUUGACUGGAAGUUCUUAUUUUCAUUUGUCCAAAUAAAGAAAUAUUCAGAAACUGAAAAUCUUCUUUCCUCUCACAAUUCUGAACAAUCAAAGCAACUAUUAAUAAAAAACACUGAGAAUAUGACAGAUUUUGAACUUAAUAUCAUCUCGAUUCACCUACUCAAGAAAUUUGAUGAGUUUUUGAGCUUGGAAGAGUCAGGUCAAAUCCACAUGUCUGAAAAUUUGGAAGGCAGUGAUUCUACAAUUCAAAGUAUAACUGCUUCAUUUGGAUAUGAUCAUCAGGAUACCACUGUAUGAGCACCAAACUUUCUUACAUUGAAUGAGUUGAAUACUAGGAAAACUGAACUAACUCUUUUCAUGGGUCAAUCAUAUAACUAGAAAUGGGAUCUGUAAGUGCAGUCAUGGAACUGCUGGAAGCCUUGAAAUACCUCUGAACUUUCUGAAGAAGGUCAAAACUUUUCUUUUUGCUAGCUCAAGUCUAAAUUUAAUAGCAUUUCAAACCCUGCCCCGUCAUACAUUUGUGUCAAGUAGUCUGUCUUUGAUAUCUCCAAACUCUGCUGUAACCAAUCCAUACAAAGUUCAUGCAACCGGACAUGCCCAAUAAUACCAUCUCCACCACACAGGAAUCCUCUGCAUUCAUCAUGGAAGAAAUGCAACAAAAUGAGACAGUUUCGUAUCCAUGUGCUAAACAAAGUUCCAAUUUAAAGAAUUAUGGGUUGAGAGCACUAACAGUCCGUGGGACGAUAAAACCUGAGAAGAGGUUCCAUAAUGCAUAAAAUGCUACAGCAAUGAUGGCAGCAAUAUGUUGAUUUGUUGUGGCAGCCACAGCCAUCAUGCCAAAAAAGGUAAAGUAUAAUUGGCUGAAGAACGUAAAAAACAAAUACCAGAAGAACUUAGCAGCUGUCCAUUCAAAUCCAAUCAUUGCAUAAACUAUAGCACCAUACACCACAGCUUGUGAAAAGACACAUGGUAUCUCAACUAAAGCCUGAAACAAGAGAUGAAUUUUGAUUAAUAAAACCCAUAAAGCAUUAGAGACAUACAAAGUCUAAAGCAUAAGAAAACUUGUUACCUGUGCAAAGGCUUAUGGCACGGAUGAAUACAUUCCUGCAGCUCUUUCUCUGUAAAAGACUGUCUAUUUCAACUGCCACGACUGGUUGCACCAAUUGGCCAUUCUGAAACCCAAGGAAGAUAACAGCAGCUACAUAGAGCCCAUUGCAUUAGAAAGAUCUCGUUGCCUUGUUCUGCAUUUUCCCAUGUGAAGUAAAAAUUGAAGUUGAUUUGGAGAAGCAUACUGAGUUCUCAAAAUUCUUAACUUACUUCAAGUUACCUUUGGGUGCCGAGAUCCCAGAACAUGGUUCCAAACAUCAAGGCUAUGAAAGUUGUGAAGAAAAAUCUCACUGCCGUGUAUGGUGGAUUGCGCCAGUAUGACCAACAUUGUUUCCAUAAGCAUGCCAUACAUUGGGUGAAGAAGGGCUGGGAGUAUUGAUUAGGGAAAUAGAGGUCCUUAGAACUAGGGGUAGGUUGGCUCAAUUCUUUAAUUAAAUCUUUGUUUCUCCUGAAACAUAUGCCACAUCUUAGAAAAGGCUUCAACAACAAAUUCAAGCCUGCAUGAUGAACAUUGAGAUGGCUGUAUAUGACAUUUCAAUAUCAUAAAGCAUUCGGAUAUCCUAUAGUUAAAUCACCUGUAUAUGUCUGAGUUUUUGUAUAUUUCAGUGAAAUUCACCCCCAAGAUUAAUUCUUGUGCAGAAAUGGUAACUUCCAACAUCUUUGAUUUUU
rnacentral:lncRNA from 1 species